UGGUACAGGUUAUCUCUAGGACCCAGAAGAGUGGGAGAGACAAGUGUUGAACCAGAAUACGUAUCGUCGUUCCUAUUACCUCACAUUAGGAAAACAUAUAUUGCUUAUCUCCAGUCUAGUCCGUCACUCUUGACUCUUGUUGGGCAGAGACAAGUGGUACAGAGGCAGGUGCAAGUCUGCGAUUACCCACUCCAGAAUACGCUAUUUGUCUGGCGCUCUGUGGUUCUGUUCCUUAGCGAAUCAGUGAGCAGAGAUCACGAGAUAGUUUGGUGGGUUUAUGGGGUUAUCACGAAAGCUCCCGAGACCAGAGGAACGCCCGCAAGGUGAAAUGACACAAUAUAUCAUCUGCAUCCUGAGAGGCGGUCUGCGUUGCGUAAAAGAAGCGGAUGAUUGAAGAUAAACUGGGAGGUUUCCCGUGUCUCGGGGUGAUUCCAGUGUCUCAGGAGUCGCGUCUGAGCGGUAAUAGACGAGAGAGACCUAGAGAGAAGAGGUUGUUUGCGCUCCCGGGAGGUCCCGCUCUGCAUGAAAAGGAGCGAUGUAAAAGAGAUUGCCAACGAGCACUGGCUGACCACAGUGACCUGAGACCAUACAAACUGCUUGGUUGAUGAAGAUACAGACAACAGGUUGGCCCCACCCCUCCACACCAUCCCCGACCCAUCGUUGAGCUCUUCAAAAACAUUUAACAAUCAACACUUCUGAACAACGUUUCCUUCUGACACACUCUCUCGACCUUUCACCAGAAAAACAACAGCCUGGUCCCACAACAGUGACUGUAGCUCCAGCCUGGUCACACAACAGUGACUGUAGCUCCAGCCUGGUCCCACAACAGUGACUGUAGCUCCAGCCUGGUCCCUCAACAGUGACUGUAGCUCCAGCCUGGUCCCACAACAGUGACUGUAGCUCCAGCCUGGUCCCACAACAGUGACUGUAGCUCCAGCCUGGUCCCACAACAGUGACUGUAGCUCCAGCUUGGUCCCACAACAGUGACUGUAGCUCCAGCCUGGUCCCACAAUAGUGACUGUAGCUCCAGCCUGGUCCCACAAAGACCAGUAAACGAA
rnacentral:lncRNA from 8 species